CAUUAGUCACAACAUUGCAUAAGGAAAGUUAUUACACACAAGAUUCAAGGUAGCAGUGAUAAACAUAACUUUUCAUUGCAUAUAUAUAUAUAUGUUUCAUUGCAAAAUGUAUUGUUUAUAGAAUGUGGCUCCAAACAAUACAUCAAGCAUAUAACUAAAAGAUAAAAGGUACAUAAGCAAAGCAAAAAUAACUAAGACAACCUAAUCCUAUCAAUCUAUUCCUCAUCAUUAGAGAAAACCUCGAUGUGAUUUGAGGAGCUCACCCUUAAUAAGGAGGGGUUUGCUUUUUAUCUUCGGAUCCUCGAAGAGGACCUUAGGCA
rnacentral:lncRNA from 1 species